GGGUAGCUCAGCUGGCAGAGCACGCGACUGUUAAUCGUGUUGUCGUGGGUUCGAUCCCCA
rnacentral:tRNA from 1 species